CAAAGAAUAGUCUAAGUUAGGAUCUUAG
rnacentral:tRNA from 1 species